AGCUUAUAAUAAAUAUAAAUUUAAUUAAAAUUAUUUUAUUUUUAAAAACAUUUGUAAAUAAAGUAAAGGUGAUUAAAAAUUAUUUUGAAUAUAUUUUGAAUUAAGUACUGUAGAGGAAUUUUAUAAAUUUUUAAUAAGAAAAAAUUAAAUUUUGUACCUUUUGUAUCAUGGUUUAACUAGAUGGUUUACUUUAUAUAAAAAGUUUCUCGAAAUCUAAUGAGCUAUUUUUAUUCUCUGUAUUAGUAUUAUAAAAGGUAAAUUGUAGCCAAAAUUUCUUAAGAAAUAAAAAUAGAAAUGAAAUUUUAUUCGCAUUAGAAUGAUAGCCAGUUCUUUCCAAAAUGUAUAGAAAGGACCAAUAAAUAAUUUCCUUCUCCUAUAACAAAAUAAUAAGACNAGGUUUUAUUCGGUUAAAUUUUUAGGGAUAAGCUUAAAAAGUAUAUUUAAAARGGGUUUUAUUUCUAAAAAAUUUAGGCUUAAAAAUAGCUUAAAUUUGGAUUUUGUUACAAUUUCAUUGAAUUUUAAAAUAGAAUAAUUUAUUUGCUAUUCUUAAAUGAAAGAGGACUUUUAAAAUCAUCAAAGUUAAAUUUAUGUUAAAAUGAGGUAUUAAUUAAGUAUAUAUUAAUUUUUAAGUAUAUUUAUAUUAAAAUUACUUCAUUUCUUCUUAACAGAAAUUAUUAAAAAGGAACUCGGCAAAAUUAUAUUCUGCCUGUUUAGCAAAAACAUGGCUCCUUGUCAAAUUUAAAUAAGGAGUCGGAACCUGCCCAGUGAAAGUUUUUUUAACGGCCGCAGUACUUUGACUGUGCAAAGGUAGCAUAAUCAUUUGCCUUAUAAUUGAAGGCUAGUAUGAAUGGUUUGACAAGAAUAUAACUGUCUCUUUAUAAUUUAAUAGAAUUUUUUUUAUAAGUGAAGAAACUUAUAUCAAAUUAAUAGACAAGAAGACCCUAUCGAGCUUUAAAAAAUUUGAAAGAGUAGAUUAUUUAUAAUUUUAAAAAAUUUACUUUCAAGAAUUUUAGUUGGGGCGACUGAGGAACAAAAAGAGCUUCCUUUUUUUAAAAAACAGACAAGUAUUGAUCCAAGAAUAUUUUGAUUAAAGGAAUUAGUUACCGUAGGGAUAACAGCAUUAUCUUUUUUGAGAGCACUUUAUCGAAAAAAAGGUUUGUGACCUCGAUGUUGGACCAGAAUAACCUAAAGAUGCAGCAGUCUUUAAGGGUUGGUCUGUUCGACCAUUAAAAUUCUACGUGAUCUGAGUUCAGACCGGCGUGAGCCAGGUCAGUUUCUAUCUUUA
rnacentral:rRNA from 1 species